rnacentral:lncRNA from 1 species
UCGAUGUUACGUAAAUAUGUGGAUGACUCGAACGACAUUAUUGAAUUAAAACUAGACGAGAUAGCAGAAGAUUUAACGUAUGAGGACAUACGUGUUAAAAUCUUGGAUAAGAAGGAUCGUAUUCAACACUCAAAGGUUAUACCUCAAGAGUUAGAAUCUGACGAAGUGUCCUCAUUUGUUCGGCAUACCAGGUACGUACGUAAAUUUCGAGGGCUAAAUUUUAUAAGGAGGGGAGAUUGUAAAAUCCCAAAUUUUACGAAUAAAGAUUUAAUUUUCUCGAAUUUUUUUUUUCAAAAUUAUGGUGUG